CUGGCUCAGGAUGAACGCUAGCGGCAGGCUUAACACAUGCAAGUCGAGGGGCAUCGGGAGUAGCAAUACUGCCGGCGACCGGCGCAAGGGCGCGUAACGCGUGAGCAACAUGCCCGUAUCAGGGGGGAUAAUCCAUGGAAACGUGGUCUAAUACCCCAUAGUAAUUAUGUAAGGCAUCUUAUAUAAUUUAAAGCUUUGGUGGAUACGGAUUGGCUCGCGUGACAUUAGCUGGAUGGUAAGGUAACGGCUUACCAUGGCUACGAUGUCUAGGGGUUCUGAGAGGAAGGUCCCCCCACACUGGAACUGAGACACGGUCCAGACUCCUACGGGAGGCAGCAGUGAGGAAUAUUGGACAAUGGAUGGAAAUCUGAUCCAGCCAUGCCGCGUGCAAGGAAGACGGCCCUAUGGGUUGUAAACUGCUUUUGUAUGGGAGCAAUAAGGGCUACGUGUAGUCCGAUGAGAGUACCAUACGAAUAAGCACCGGCUAACUCCGUGCCAGCCGCCGC
rnacentral:rRNA from 1 species